rnacentral:rRNA from 1 species
CAGUCGCCGCGGGAAUACAGAGGGUGCGAGCGUUAAUCGGAUUUACUGGGCGUAAAGCGUGCGCAGGCGGUUAUAUAAGACAGAUGUGAAAUCCCCGGGCUCAACCUGGGAACUGCAUUUGUGACUGUAUAGCUAGAGUACGGCAGAGGGGGAUGGAAUUCCGCGUGUAGCAGUGAAAUGCGUAGAUAUGCGGAGGAACACCGAUGGCGAAGGCAAUCCCCUGGGCCUGUACUGACGCUCAUGCACGAAAGCGUGGGGAGCAAACAGGAUUAGAUACCCGAGUAGUCCCUGUCUCUUAUAC